UACAGAGGGGGCAAGCGUUGUUCGGAAUUACUGGGCGUAAAGGGCGCGUAGGCGGCCUUCUAAGUCGAACGUGAAAUCCCCGGGCUCAACCCGGGAACUGCGUCCGAUACUGGAAGGCUUGAAUCCGGGAGAGGGAUGCGGAAUUCCAGGUGUAGCGGUGAAAUGCGUAGAUAUCGGGAGGAAUACCAGCGGCGAAGGCGGCCUUCUGGACGGUGACUGACGCUGAGACGCGAAAGCGUGGGGAGCAAACAGG
rnacentral:rRNA from 1 species